rnacentral:tRNA from 1 species
AGCAGCGUGGCUUAAUGGAAAAAGCGUGGGCUUUGGAGUCAGAGGUCAUGGGUUCGACUCCCAGCUCUGCCA